CAAAACCCCGGCCAAAACCCUCCCGCACCCGGCCGCCUUCCAUACCCCACACCGUCCGCCGCGAUGCUCCGCUCGCCCUCCUCGCUCCGCUCCCUCCUCCACCUCUCCGCUCGCCUCCUCCCCCCGCCGAACCCUCGCCUCCCACGCCCCCCUCACCCCCGCCUCCCCAGCUACCCGCUCUCCGCCCGCCCUCGCUUCCUCUCGUCGUCGUCCUCCUCAUCCUCCUCCCCGCCCACCACCGGCGGCGCCGGAUGGGCCACCUACGACCCGGUCACCGACAGUCUCAGCGCUCCCGCGGCGCUCUCCUCACCCUCCGCCUCCGCCUCCGACCCCGAGGCCCCCGCGGAGUCCGACGCCUGGGCUGUCUUCGACCCCGCCGCGGGCCGCAUCAUCAAGCACCGCUCCCCUCCUUCGUCGUCUACCACCGCGGCGGCGGCGAAGGCGGAGGAGGAUGAGGAGGAGGAGGAGGAGGAGGGGGAAGGCGCGGACGAGGGCGAGGAGAAGGGGAGGGUACGGGCGAGCGCGCGGGUCGCGAAGGCCCAGACCUCGUGGUCGUCAGUGGCGGCGGUGCGGAAGCCCGCGGGUAAGGGCGGCAAGGAGAGGUUCUCGUUCGUGUGCAGCCACUGCAAGGAGGCCGAUUCGCAGUGGUGGGGCUUUUGCCGCCACUGCAACGCGGCGGGGACCAUGGAGAAGUACGUCCCGGGGACUGAUGGCAAUGCCUCUGCGGUGGGGUUGCACCAUAUCUCCCGGUCGUGGAUUCCUCAGAAGAGCAAGGAGAUUGUGCCGCAGAGCCUUCAGGAGGUGAACAAGGGGCUCAAUCAGGCUGAGUGGCGCAUACCCCUGUCAGGGAGCUUUGGAGUGGAGAUUGCUCGAGUGCUUGGUGGUGGCAUUGUUCCUGGCUCCUUGAUAUUAGUCGGCGGGGAUCCAGGUGUUGGCAAAAGUUCAUUGAUGUUACAGCUUGCUUCAAAUAUAUUGGAGGGUUUCAAGGUUGAGGAGUCUUCACCUGUUGUAUAUGUUUCUGGUGAGGAGAGUAUUGAGCAAAUUGGAAACAGGGCUGAUCGGAUGAGUAUCACGUCUAGCAAGUUGUACCUCUACUCUGGUACGGACAUUGAGGAUAUCUUGGACAAAAUCCAACCGCUGUCUCCAAGGGCUCUUAUUAUCGAUUCAAUUCAAACAGUUUAUGUCAAAUCGUUCGCUGGAAGUGCUGGCAAUUUAGCACAGGUCAAGGAAUGCACCUCUGCCUUGUUACGAUUUGCAAAACUGACUAAUAUCCCUGUUUUCUUGAUUGGACAUGUUACAAAAAGUGGUGAUAUUGCUGGUCCUCGCCUCUUAGAGCACAUAGUGGAUGUUGUUUUGUACAUGGAGGGGGAGAGGUGCUCAUCCCAUCGACUGUUGCGGUCGGUUAAGAAUCGUUUCGGUUCAACAGAUGAGCUUGGUGUAUUUGAGAUGGCUGAAUUUGGUCUGCAAGCUGUUUUGAAUCCUAGCCAGAUGUUCUUAACUGAGCAUGACUCUGAUUCUGAAAUUCUAGCUGGGCUUGCUGUAGCUGUUAUUUUAGAUGGAUCUAGGACCUUUGCUAUCGAAGUUCAGGCAUUGUGUGUUUCUGGUUCUCAGCGUUCUGGACAAGUAGUUGGCAUACCAACAAGAAGGGCUGAUGUCAUAAUAUCUGGUAUAAAUCUAUGGAUAAGCUCCAGCAGGGUGACUUGUAAAAAUGGGAUCCUGUGAAAUGAAUAGUGUUGCUAGUUUAUCUUUAGCUUGAUAGCACCAUUAUUUUGGCAUUAGAGCUGCAUAAAUAGUGCCAGACCUGACUUCUUUUAUUCAGCCCAAGAUCAUUCUGUCACAGUCAAAUUCACAUAAGUUUGAUCACGCUUUCUUAUAAACCAUUGCAAGCAUAGCACCUUAAGCUGAGUUACCAUUAGCUUUCAUGUCAUCUCAACAGCAUAUCUGAGCUUGUUUUGAUGUGGACACUGAUAAGUUUGCAUAUGUAUGUUAGGCCUCUUGCAGACUUAGUUUUGCUUAUUUUGUUGCAUUUCUGCUGGAAUAAGAGGAAAAUGAGGUGGUUGUUUCCAGAUUGCAGGAAUAUAUGUGUGGGAUAAGAUGUUUUGGUAGUAUCUGUUCUUUGACAUUAUAACCAUAGACACAAAUACACAUGCCUCCACACGUGUCACGUCCGUGGGCUAGCAUAGACCAGAUAUAAAUUCAUGAAUCAUGACCUCCGGGAGCACGGACGCACACGGUCCAUAGUGUUAUGACCGGCAAAACAUACCAGCGGCGCAAAAAGAAAGGAUCAAAGCAGGAGUCCGAGAAAAGUGGCGGUUAGCUCGGCGUACGUGAAGAUCUGGUGGUUUUGGCAAGGGAAGAUUUUGGAGAUUGGCUUACGUAUCUUAGGGUUGGUUAGUAGUAUUUCCUUUAGUAGAGAUAAACUUAUAUAAGAAAGAGAUGUAUUCGUUUGGGAGUCAAGCAAUGAGAAUUAUCUAGUUUCCCUAGUCCCGAUUCCCCUUCUCCUAGUUUGGGCGACGUCUCCGACGGCGCCGAAACGCCGAGGUCCCGGACCUCGCCCUUCCACGAGCCACGACUAUAACUUACGCCACGUUCCUUCCACCAACACUCCUCCAUCCACCGGCGAACAUAACAAUAGAGAUGCUCACAGCCUCACACUGAGUAAAGUUGCACCAAGAUUUGAUCCCUAGCACACCCAAAGCCACAACUCAACCGAUUGACCAAUACUUUUUUCCCUAUAUUUUGUGAAAUGUUAAUCUCGUUUGUUAUUUUGUAGGUUCUUAUGAAGCAAGCAGGCCUAAAACUUCAGGAUAAUGCUAUUUUUUUGAAUGUCGUCAGUGGCUUCGAGUUGACUGAGACCGCAGGAGAUCUGGCGAUAGCAGCUUCAAUUUGCAGCAGUUUCUUGGAGUUUCCCAUCCCAAAUGAUGUUGCAUUUAUUGGAGAGAUUGGUCUUGGCGGUGAACUUCGAACUGUGCCAAGAAUGGACAAGCGGGUGAUGGCUAUUGCAAAGCUGGGAUACAAGAAAUGUGUAGUUCCCAGGACCUCCGAGAAGUUGCUCAAACCGCUUAAUCUGGAUAUCGAGAUCUUGCCCUGCAGCAACUUGAAGCAGUUUAUAAACGCCAUAUUUAGGCCCCAAGGCUGAUGCUGGCGUGGAAGAUGCUUUGCUUUACCAAAGCUGACCGUAGGUAUUCAGGGUUAGACAUUAGAGUAUUGUAGGUCAAGGGCUUGGCUACUUGAUUUGGUGUAGGCGUGUAGCAUAGGGCCAGUUAACAGUGGACGGGCUUCCGUGUUGGGCUUCCAGCCGAUAUAUGUAUUUUCCAUUUUGCUAGUAAGCCUAGGCGGCCGUAAAUUUGGUUAUCGUUAUUCUUUCGUGUAAAUUUGAAGCUUUAUUCUGUGUCUUGUCCAGCUGUC